UGAGGAAUAUUGGUCAAUGGGCGAGAGCCUGAACCAGCCAAGUAGCGUGCAGGAAGACGGCCCUAUGGGUUGUAAACUGCUUUUAUGUGGGGAUAAAGUGCGUGACGUGUCAUGCAUUGCAGGUACCACAUGAAUAAGGACCGGCUAAUUACGUGCCAGCAGCCGCGGUAAUACGUAAGGUCCGAGCGUUGUCCGGAAUCAUUGGGCGUAAAGGGUACGUAGGCGGGUAAGCAAGUUAGAAGUGAAAUCCUGUAGCUCAACUACAGUAAGCUUAUAAAACUGCGCAUCUUGAGAUAUGGAAGGGAAAGUGGAAUUCCUAGGGGAGCGGUGAAAUGCGCAGAUAUUAGGAGGAAUACCGGUGGCGAAGGCGACUUUCUGGCCAUAAUCUGACGCUGAGGUACGAAAACGUGGGUAGCAAACAGG
rnacentral:rRNA from 1 species